GUCGUCUUGUCUAUCCGGCUUGUGAUCGACAGUUAAGGGAAUAGUUUGAUUCCCACGGCAGAGCACCGCCCUUGAGUCACCACAGUUUGACGUGAUAAUCUGGCAACCGGAUAAAACCACCACUACUGCUGUGGAUCCGACCAUUUCCGGUGCCUCUGUCAAGACCUCAUUGUCUGCCUUCUCAAAACCACUGGAAAAAGCAACUUCCCAC
rnacentral:misc_RNA from 1 species